UAGCAGAGGUCUGGCGUGUGGCGGUUUGCAGUAGGGACAAUCGAGGCUUUCUCUUCAUAGUAGCACUGUCCACCUGCUGCCGGGUGGGGUGGGCAGGCCCCCGCCGCGCGUGGGGGUCGCCGGGCUGCCCGGCGCGUGGGGUCGAGGCUGCGUGCCACUCCGUGGUCCCUGAGUGCGCGCCCCCUGUAUUGGCCCUGCUACAUGUAAUUCCCUUCCACCCGUUUCUCGCACGGGUGCCCAGCAGCCGCGCGAGUUGGGAAGGACUGGGAGCUGGUGCGCGGUCUACACGCCUGGACGCCCUCUGGCCGGGACCCCGCGGCCAGAAUCGCUUUCCCGGGGCGCCAUCUACAGGCAAGCUCAAAAGAUCCUAAAAUGCCUUUGCUCCUACCUUCUCCCAACACACACACCCCUCCAUUGGCCUGGCGCGGGGGGAAGAGCGGUGGGGGGGAGGGGCGGCCACGGAGCUGCCCGGCCAGGCCCACUGAGCCCUGUCCAACAUUAGUAGGAACCCGAGUAAGGGCUGCAAAACGCAUCCAAAGCGGCGCUGCAGUAACUGUGGGGAGUAAGAGGGCGAAAGGAGAUUCCCAUCCAGUGCUGAUGGAGGUGAAGCGCGGAUCUGCACACAGGGACGCUUCAGAUGACAACUGAAACAAGGAACAGGAAGCUGAGAAAGGAAGACACCUCCGAAACACACCUAGCAAAAGCUGGACGUUUCUGGUCAUUCAUCCUAUGGGAAGACUUUCUGGAAGAGGCAAUUAUUCUUGGAAGCUGAAAGGUAUUAACAACCUCCAGAAGGCACUAUGACAUUGGAGUUUGGACUAUGUGGAGCAGGACUCAAAGCUGGGCUUAGCUGCUUAUUGACUUUGACCUUGAGCAAAAAGUUAGCAGAUGAUUUAAAGUAUAAGGUAAAAGGAAUUCAUGCUUGUUAACCCAUUAAAGGCUCGUUAGUUACGCUCUCUUUUAAAAAGCCAUUCAAAAAUGUAUAUGACAAGCAAAUAUUUAUUGCAGUGUUUCUUAAAAUAAUGAAAAAUUAGAAACCAUUAUAAGGGGCUACUGCUAAAUCAUGGUGUACCCAUAAAUGAAACAUUGUGCGUCCAUAAAAAGGGGUUCUAAGGAGUGGUUCCUGGCACAAUGUAAUAUGAAAAAAGCAAAAUACGAAAUUGUGCGAUUCUAAUGUUGCAGAAACUUUCAGCCUACACGACUAUCACUGAAUAAAAUCACAAAGUAGAAAAUGGUGAUUAUAUCUUGGAGUGAUGAGAUUGUAGGUGAUUUUUAAUUUUCUUUACUAAGGUUUUCUGCAGUUAAACAUUCUGCAGUUCAAUCUCAUUUAAUACAAAUAUCUAGAACUUCUCAAAUGGAGUGACUUCAGCAUUUGACGUCCUCGGCCUGAUUGCUGUGGAGGUUAUUGUGCGGAGUGACCUUUGACCAUACGGCCACAGAUCCAGAAGCCAGACGUCUGCGGGGCUUUGCUCCUGAGAGGGAGCUCCCAGACUGUGACCUUUGAUUCCUGCACGCCUCCUCUUGCCAUCUGAUGCCGGUCUGCUCCUGUGACUAAGUGAAAAUCGUCAUAACUGUGCUCGGGGGUUAACUCUGGCCCGACUGGGAGGGAACGUGCCGGCAGCAUGCUGGAGGCAGGGAAGAAGGCCAGCAGCCUUGUCAGGAACAAACACCCCGGACGGCACCUUUCCAUAGACAUGCGGUUCCCCGGGACCCCUGGGGAGUCCUCUGCACAUGCCAGGGCCAGCAGCAAUGGAAGGAAUUAUCUUUCACUCCCUUCUUGGUGAAAAUGUCUAUUUUCCAGAAAUGAAUUACAGCAAUAAAUUAUGGAAAUUGUUUCCAUCGUCUACAAAACACAGCCAGGAAUUCUAAAAUUUGUAAAUCUGUCAUGUACCCAACCUGUGUUUGAGACGCUAAGGUACAAUUUAAUUCCUCA